AGCAGGCGCGCAAAUUACCCAAUCCCGACACGGGGAGGUAGUGACAAUAAAUAACAAUACGGGGCUCUUUCGGGUCUCGUAAUUGGAAUGAGUACAAUUUAAAUCCCUUAACGAGGAACAAUUGGAGGGCAAGUCUGGUGCCAGCGGCCGCGGUAAUUCCAGCUCCAAUAGCGUAUAUUAAAGUUGUUGCAGUUAAAAAGCUCGUAGUUGAAUUUCGGGAUUGACACAUCGGUCGUGCCUUAAGGGGUAUGAACUGGUGUAGUCAAUUUCUCACCUUCUGGAGAACCGCGAUGCCCUUAAUUGGGUGUCACGGGGAACCAGGACCUUUACUUUGAAAAAAUUAGAGUGUUUAAAGCAGGCAUUUUGCUUGAAUACAUUAGCAUGGAAUAAUAAAAUAGGACGGCAUGAUUCUAUUUUGUUGGUUUCUAGGAUCACCGUAAUGAUUAAUAGGGAUAGUUGGGGGCAUUAGUAUUCAAUUGUCAGAGGUGAAAUUCUUGGAUUUAUUGAAGACUAACUACUGCGAAAGCAUUUGCCAAGGAUGUUUUCAUUAAUCAAGAACGAAAGUUAGGGGAUCGAAGACGAUCAGAUACCGUCGUAGUCUUAACCAUAAACUAUGCCGACUAGGAAUCAGACGAUGUUAAUUUUUUAAUGACUCGUUUGGCACCUUACGGGAAACCAAAGUGUUUGGGUU
rnacentral:rRNA from 1 species